GCCCGGGUGGUCUAGUUGGUAUGAUUCUCGCUUCGGGAUGGCAGUUUUCCCGAACUCCACAAGGGGUUCUAGUAUGCGAGAGGCCCCGCGUUCGAAUCGCGGCUCGGGCC